GCUCCUCGUGCAACGUCGCUAAAGGCCACUGAAUCAAAUGCCAACAACAAUAUUUAUAGUAUUUGUAGUGAUCAAUUAUUGAAAGCUCUAAACAUAAAUACCAUCUCUCACAUUUCCACCAUAUGAGUGGUGAUUUUCCUCAAUCUUAUAUGCAUACAACAAAAUCCCCGACCACAAUCUUUCAUUUCAGAAAAAGACAAAGUGCGACAACAACAAUAAAUUCAUUAUCUUUUACCUUAUUCUUUCUAUCCUCGUGUGUAUCCGCUAGGGGUGUUGAACAGUGAAAUUUCAACAAAUUUCCACUAAUAUUAAACGAAUUUCCAUCCAUUUCAACAAAUUUUCACCCAUAUAAAACAAACUUUCGCCCAUCUUAAUAACAAUUCUGCUUGGCGAAAUUUUAACACAAAAAAUUGAAAAAAAAUAACACCGAAGAAGAAAAGGGCUAACCUCUUCGGCUUUGGAUAUAUUUUCGCGGGAGAAUAUUUUCCUGUGAAAAAUAGAGAGUAGUGAUGGCCAAAAGAAAGAGGAAGUGAGGUUGGCAGAAGAAAGAGUGAAUAAGUGUGGC
rnacentral:lncRNA from 1 species